CGUGGGAACAUACCCUUUUCUACGGAAUAGCCUCGGGAAACUGAGAGUAAUACCGUAUACGCCCUUCGGGGGAAAGAUUUAUCGGAGAAGGAUUGGCCCGCGUUUGAUUAGAUAGUUGGUGGGGUAAUGGCCUACCAAGUCUACGAUCAAUAGCUGGUUUGAGAGGAUGAUCAGCAACACUGGGACUGAGACACGGCCCAGACUCCUACGGGAGGCAGCAGUGGGGAAUCUUAGACAAUGGGCGCAAGCCUGAUCUAGCCAUGCCGCGUGAGUGACGAAGGCCUUAGGGUCGUAAAGCUCUUUCGCCAGAGAUGAUAAUGACAGUAUCUGGUAAAGAAACCCCGGCUAACUCCGUGCCAGCAGCCGCGGUAAUACGGAGGGGGUUAGCGUUGUUCGGAAUUACUGGGCGUAAAGCGUACGUAGGCGGAUUAGAAAGUAGGGGGUGAAAUCCCAGGGCUCAACCCUGGAACUGCCUCCUAAACUACUAGUCUAGAGUUCGA
rnacentral:rRNA from 1 species